ACUGUACUCCCUCCGUCCCAAAAUUCUUAUCUUAGAUUUGUUUAAACACAGAUGUAUCAAGUCAUGUUUUAGUAUUAGAUACAUCCGUAUCUAAACGAAUUUAAGACAAGAAUUUUGGGACGGAGGGAGUAUUUG
rfam:Triticum urartu cultivar G1812 contig1177438, whole genome shotgun sequence.